rnacentral:rRNA from 1 species
AUUGAACGCUGGCGGCAUGCCUUACACAUGCAAGUCGAACGGCAGCACGGGAGCAAUCCUGGUGGCGAGUGGCGAACGGGUGAGUAAUAUAUCGGAACGUGCCCAGUCGUGGGGGAUAACGUAGCGAAAGCUACGCUAAUACCGCAUACGAUCUAUGGAUGAAAGCGGGGGAUCGCAAGACCUCGCGCGAUUGGAGCGGCCGAUAUCAGAUUAGCUAGUUGGUGGGGUAAAGGCCCACCAAGGCGACGAUCUGUAGCUGGUCUGAGAGGACGACCAGCCACACUGGGACUGAGACACGGCCCAGACUCCUACGGGAGGCAGCAGUGGGGAAUUUUGGACAAUGGGCGCAAGCCUGAUCCAGCAAUGCCGCGUGCAGGACGAAGGCCUCGGUUGUAACUAGCUUUGUUACGGUAACGAAAAACGGGUACCCUUACCUAAUACAGGGCGUAAUAGACGGUACCGU